ACAAGGUAGGUAUUACUGAGUUCCGCUCUAUAACCCUUUGUGAAAUACCUAACCGUUGCUUCGGCGGGCAGGGGAAGCCUCUCGCGGGCCUCCCCUCCCGGCGCCGGCCCCCACCACGGGGACGGGGCGCCCGCCGGAGGAAACCAAACUCUAUUUACACGACGUCUCUUCUGAGUGGCACAAGCAAAUAAUUAAAACUUUUAACAACGGAUCUCUUGGUUCUGGCAUCGAUGAAGAACGCAGCGAAAUGCGAUAAGUAAUGUGAAUUGCAGAAUUCAGUGAAUCAUCGAAUCUUUGAACGCACAUUGCGCUCGCCAGCAUUCUGGCGAGCAUGCCUGUUCGAGCGUCAUUUCAACCCUCAAGCACCGCUUGGUUUUGGGGCCCCACGGCACACGUGGGCCCUUAAAGGUAGUGGCGGACCCUCCCGGAGCCUCCUUUGCGUAGUAACUAACGUCUCGCACUGGGAUCCGGAGGGACUCUUGCCGUAAAACCCCCCAAUUUUUUACAGGUUGACCUCGGAUCAGGUAGGAAUACCCGCUGAACUUAAGCAUAUCAAUAAGCGAGGGAAAAAAGAAAAAGACGCACCUGGGUUGCGAGGGUAAA
rnacentral:rRNA from 1 species